GGCUCUACAGCUCAGGGGCAGAGCAGCUGCUUUGCAUGCAGAAGAUCCCAGGUUCAAUACGUGGUAAAGGUA